UCGAGUUGAUAGAUUGAUCGCUCUAUGUGUUAGAAUUCGAUCUGUAAUUCGUGCCGUUGAGUGAACAUUUACUGCAAUUUUAAAUCUGCAUUUCCCAGCCCAGUUUUGAUACAGUUUAGCUAGAAAGUUGCCAAGAUGUCUAAGUAUAGUCUUCCCUUCUGCGAAACUUUCAUUCCGAAUUUAAUUAUCAGUACACAAAUCAUUUUGAUUGCCAUAUACAGGUUCACAUCAGCGCAAUUUUUUUUUUCGCAAUUUCUUACCCAUCAUCCCUCAUUAUUUUUUUUUAUAUUGAUACCACUAUUCAUUGUGCACCGAAAUCUACACAAGAUUUGUACAUGUACACUCUAGCUAAAAUGUACUCUCUCAUACUCUCAACACUAACAUCUGUAACAAACAAUUUGAGUAGUCUCGCUUUCCCCAUGAAAACUCUCGCUCUCGAGACAUAGCACGAACGAGAAUAGCCUAGUACUUCCUUCUUUGAACAUCGGAAGGCCUCGGGUACCAGGCUAGAACGAGAGUCUGGUUCGAUUCCCAUUUCAAAUCGCGGCUUGCCGAGAAAUCGGUACUGUUUCUGAUUGGUUGAUAGAGAAACAUGGAGGAACUGAAAUUCAAAGCAACUGUCAAAGUUUGUUUACAAAGGCGAAAUUUAUAUUAUCAAUUGAAAGAACUUCAGUUAUCAAUACUGAAAAAGAUUUUGGUUCAACACACAAUAGAAUAUCUCUGUUUGCUUUGUAACUAUAUCCUUAUCAGGAGUAGUUAUUAUUUUGGUUUAACACCCUCUACUGGUCACAAUAUUAAAAUAGGAAUCGUACCAGACUCUCACUCAGUGAGGAAGACGAUGAAAUGUAUUAAGUGGCUUCGGUUUAAAAUUGAUUGAUUGUAUAUAGUUUAACGUCCCUCUCGAGAAUUUUUCGCUCACAUGGAGAUGUCACCAUUGGCAGUGAAGGACUGCAUUUAGGCCCAUGUUCGGCGCUUAUUGCCAUUGAGCAGGGAGGAUCUUUAUCGUGCCACACGGUACCUCAGUUUUUAUGGUCUCAUCCGAAGGACCACCCCAUUUAGUCGCCUCUUACUACACGUAAGGGAGUACUGAUACCUAUUCUAACUCGGAUCCCCACGGGAUUGUAAAUAUUUGACGCGGCCAUGGCACGAGCGGGGCUUGAACUCACGAAUCCCGGUUACGAACCGAACGCUCUACCACACUAUUGCACAAUUGAAAGACACUGGUAUUCGAACUUCAAUUAACAAAGUUAAUAACACGUUUGACCACCAUUUGCAUUCACGCAUGCUUGACAACGACGCCUCAUUGAUGCCACUAAAGUGUUCAGAAAUGCUUAAGUGAUGUUGUUCCACAUGUUGGUUAAAGCCUGACCUAAAUCAGUCAAUAUCACUGGCUGAUUUGGUAAACGUCGUAGACGUCGUUCCAUUUAAUCCCAGACGUACUCAUUCAGCGAUAAAUCGGGGGAAACAGCUGGCCAAUGCAAGACAUCGACAUUCUGUUGAACAAAAAUGUCCUUGACUACACAUGCAACAGGUGGCCUUGCGUUGUCUUGCUGCAGAGUGAUGUGAUUUUGCUGUCUCUGUAUGAAGGGUAUCACAUGGCGCUGAAUAAUUUCGUCUCGAUAGCGUACGCCGGUGAGAUUUCCAUUGACAAUUUGUAGAGGGGUCCUUCCAUAACGCUACCUCCACCGAAUUGUCGACGUUGCACAACACAAGCGUCCUGGUACCGCUCCCCAGCGCGACGAUACACUCUACAACGACCGUCACUGCUAUCCAAAUGAAAUCUGGAUUCAUCAGUGAACAGAAUAUUGGCCCAGUCCUGUAUUCUGAAUCGCAGAUGUCGUCCGCACCACGCUCGUCUAGCGAUACAAUGACGUUGAAGCAGUAUUGGGCGCACUGCUGGACGUCUUGGUCUGAUGUUGUGCUCGCGCAGACGAUUACGCACAGUUCUUGGACUGAUUGGUCGAAGUCCAGGAAGCGAAUAAUUGCCAAUUGAUUCCAAAUUGUGUUUGUGUUAAAUGUGUUUGAGGCAUAAUAAUCCUCACAAUGUGAAUAAUUGUAAUUUCAGAAAUUUUUGUAAUGAUUUCAUAAGACACUUGCAUGUUUGAUUGUUUAUAUUUCUCAUUUGUUAAUGUAAUUAGGAUACUUGCAGACAUUAUGGACAGUGAUAUUAAAGGGGAGGAUAUGUUAUAUCUUUAUCCGGAAUUGUAA